AUUUUGGACAAUGGGCGAAAGCCUGAUCCAGCCAUGCCGCGUGUGUGAAGAAGGCCUUCGGGUUGUAAAGUACUUUCAGCGAGGAGGAAGGCAUUGUGGUUAAUAACCGCAGUGAUUGACGUUACUCGCAGAAGAAGCACCGGCUAACUCCGUGCCAGCAGCCGCGGUAAUACGGAGGGUGCAAGCGUUAAUCGGAAUUACUGGGCGUAAAGCGCACGCAGGCGGUUUGUUAAGCCAGAUGUGAAAUCCCCGGGCUCAACCUGGGAACUGCAUUUGAAACUGGCAAGCUUGAGUCUCGUAGAGGGGGGUAGAAUUCCAGGUGUAGCGGUGAAAUGCGUAGAGAUCUGGAGGAAUACCGGUGGCGAAGGCGGCCCCCUGGACAAAGACUGACGCUCAGGUGCGAAAGCGUGGGGAGCAAAC
rnacentral:rRNA from 1 species